rnacentral:misc_RNA from 1 species
GAUGAAGAACGCAGUGAAAUGCGAUAAGUAGUGUGAAUUGCAGAAUUCAGUGAAUCAUCGAAUCUUUGAACGCACAUUGCGCCCGCCAGUAUUCUGGCGGGCAUGCCUGUUCGAGCGUCAUUUCAACCCUCAGGCCCCCAGUGCCUGGUGUUGGGGAUCGGCCCAGCCUUCCUGUAAGGCCGCCGGCCCCGAAAUCUAGUGGCGGUCUCGCUGUAGUCCUCCUCUGCGUAGUAGCACAACCUCGCAGUUGGAACGCGGCGGUGGCCAUGCCGUUAAACACCCCACUUCUGAAAGUUGACCUCGGAUCAGGUAGGAAUACCCGCUGAACUUAAGCAUAUCAAUAAGCGGAGGA